GAUGAACGCUAGCGGCAGGCCUAAUACAUGCAAGUCGAACGGUAACAGGCCGCAAGGUGCUGACGAGUGGCGAACGGGUGAGUAAUGCAUCGGAACGUGCCCAGUCGUGGGGGAUAACGCAGCGAAAGCGGCGCUAAUACCGCAUACGAUCUCUGGAUGAAAGCGGGGGACCGAAAGGCCUCGCGCGGUUGGAGCGGCCGAUGUCAGAUUAGGUAGUUGGUGGGGUAAAGGCUCACCAAGCCAACGAUCUGUAGCUGGUCUGAGAGGACGACCAGCCACACUGGGACUGAGACACGGCCCAGACUCCUACGGGAGGCAGCAGUGGGGAAUUUUGGACAAUGGGCGCAAGCCUGAUCCAGCAAUGCCGCGUGCAGGAAGAAGGCCUUCGGGUUGUAAACUGCUUUUGUACGGAACGAAACGGUCCUGGUUGAUACCUGGGGCUAAUGACGGUACCGUAAGAAUAAGCACCGGCUAACUACGUGCCAGCCGCCGCCGUAAAAC
rnacentral:rRNA from 1 species